UACUCCUACGGGAGGCAGCAGUGGGGAAUUUUGGACAAUGGGGGCAACCCUGAUCCAGCAAUGCCGCGUGAGUGAAGAAGGCCCUCGGGUUGUAAUGCUCUUUUGUCAGGGAAGAAACGGUGUUUCCUAAUACGGAAUGCUAAUGACGGUACCUGAAGAAUAAGCACCGGCUAACUCCGUGCCAGCAGCCGCGGUAAU
rnacentral:rRNA from 1 species